rnacentral:rRNA from 1 species
AGCAGUCGCCGCGGUAAUACGUAGGUGGCAAGCGUUGUCCGGAAUUAUUGGGCGUAAAGGGCUCGCAGGCGGUUUCUUAAGUCUGAUGUGAAAGCCCCCGGCUCAACCGGGGAGGGUCAUUGGAAACCGGGAAACUUGAGUGCAGAAGAGGAGAGUGGAAUUCCACGUGUAGCGGCGAGAUGCGUAGAGAUGUGGAGGAACACCAGUGGCGAAGGCGACUCUCUGGUCUGUAACUGACGCUGAGGAGCGAAAGCGUGGGGAGCGAACAGGAUUAGAUACCCCUGUAGUCCCUGUCUCUUAUAC